rnacentral:rRNA from 1 species
CAGCAGCCGCGGUAAUACAGAGGGUGCGAGCGUUAAUCGGAUUUACUGGGCGUAAAGCGUGCGUAGGCGGCUUUUUAAGUCGGAUGUGAAAUCCCUGAGCUUAACUUAGGAAUUGCAUUCGAUACUGGGAAGCUAGAGUAUGGGAGAGGAUGGUAGAAUUCCAGGUGUAGCGGUGAAAUGCGUAGAGAUCUGGAGGAAUACCGAUGGCGAAGGCAGCCAUCUGGCCUAAUACUGACGCUGAGGUACGAAAGCAUGGGGAGCAAACAGGAUUAGAUACCCCCGUAGUCCCUGUCCUCUUAUA